rnacentral:rRNA from 1 species
GACGAACGCUGGCGGCGUGCCUAAUACAUGCAAGUCGAGCGGACGAAUCGAAAGCUUGCUUUUGAUUCGUUAGCGGCGGACGGGUGAGUAACACGUGGGCAACCUGCCCUGUAGACGGGGAUAACACCGAGAAAUCGGUGCUAAUACCGGAUAACACGAAAUGUCGCAUGACGUUUCGUUGAAAGACGGCGCAAGCUGUCGCUACAGGAUGGGCCCGCGGCGCAUUAGCUAGUUGGUGAGGUAACGGCUCACCAAGGCGACGAUGCGUAGCCGACCUGAGAGGGUGAUCGGCCACCCUGGGACUGAGACACGGCCCAGACUCCUACGGGAGGCAGCAGUAGGGAAUCUUCCGCAAUGGACGAAAGUCUGACGGAGCAAAGCCGCGUGAGCGAAGAAGGCCUUCGGGUCGUAAAGCUCUGUUGUUAGGGAAGAACAAGUAACGCAGUAACUGGCGUUACCGUGACGGUACCUAACGAGAAAGCCACGGCUAACUACGUG